rnacentral:rRNA from 1 species
GAGUUUGAUCAUGGCUCAGCGCGAACGCUGGCGGCAUGGCUAAGACAUGCAAGUCGAGCGCGAAAGUCCCUUCGGGGGCGAGUAGAGCGGCGAAAGGGCGAGUAAUGCGUUCCUACGUGCCUUGAGGUCGGGGAUAGCCCGGGGAAACCCGGAUUAAUACCCGAUGUGGUCCUUCGGGAUCAAAGGCUUGUCCGCCUUGAGAGCGGGGAACGUCCUAUCAGGUUGUUGGUGAGGUAACGGCUCACCAAGCCAGAGACGGGUAGCGGGUGUGAGAGCAUGACCCGCCGCAUCGGGACUGAGACACUGCCCGGACUCCUACGGGAGGCUGCAGUAACGAAUCUUCCGCAAUGCGCGAAAGCGUGACGGAGCAAUGCCGCGUGCAGGAUGAAUCCCCUCGGGGUGUAAACUGCUGUCAGGGUUUAGCAACACAAUGAGCAGACCCAAAGGAAGGGCCGGCUAACUUCGUGCCAGCAGCCGCGGUA